rnacentral:rRNA from 1 species
UACAGAGGUCUCAAGCGUUGUUCGGAUUCAUUGGGCGUAAAGGGUGCGUAGGCGGCCACGCACGUCCGUUGUGAAAUCGCUCGGCUCAACUGGGCGGGGUCAGCGGAUACGGUGUGGCUGGAGCAAGCUAGGGGGCAAUGGAAUUCCCGGUGUAGUGGUGGAAUGCGUAGAUAUCGGGAGGAACACCAGUGGCGAAGGCGGUUGCCUGGAGCUUUGCUGACGCUGAUGCGCGAAAGCGUGGGGAGCGAUCCGG